rnacentral:rRNA from 1 species
AUUGAACGCUGGCGGCACGCCUAACACAUGCAAGUCGAGCGGUAACAUGAUUAGUAGCAAUACUAAUUGAUGACGAGCGGCGGACGGGUGAGGAACACGUAGGAACUUGCCCAGAAGAGGGGGAUAACCAAGGGAAACUUUGGCUAAUACCGCGUAAACUCGAGAGAGAAAAGCUGCCGCAAGGUGGCGCUUCUGGAGAGGCCUGCGUCCGAUUAGCUAGUUGGUGAGGUAACGGCUCACCAAGGCGAUGAUCGGUAACUGGUCUGAGAGGACGACCAGUCACACUGGGACUGAGACACGGCCCAGACUCCUACGGGAGGCAGCAGUGGGGAAUAUUGGACAAUGGGGGCAACCCUGAUCCAGCGAUGCCGCGUGAGUGAAGAAGGCCCUCGGGUCGUAAAGCUCUUUAGGUUGGGAAGAAGUGUGCGAUAGGAUAAUUGUCGUGCAUUGACGGUACCGACAGAAUAAGCACCGGCAAACUCUGUGCCAGCAGCCGCAGUAAGAC